GGACGGGAUAAGUGCUGAAAGCAUCUAAGCAUGAAGCCCCCCUCAAGAUGAGAUUUCCCAUUCCGCAAGGAAGUAAGAUCCCUGAAAGAUGAUCAGGUUGAUAGGUCUGAGGUGGAAGCGUGGUGACACGUGGAGCUGACAGAUACUAAUAGAUCGAGGACUUAACCUAUA
rnacentral:rRNA from 1 species